UACAGAGGUCUCAAGCGUUGUUCGGAUUUACUGGGCGUAAAGGGUGCGUAGGCGGCGCGGUAAGUCGGGUGUGAAAUCUCGGGGCUUAACUCCGAAACUGCAUUCGAUACUGCCGUGCUUGAGGACUGGAGAGGAGACUGGAAUUUACGGUGUAGCGGUGAAAUGCGUAGAUAUCGUAAGGAAGACCAGUGGCGAAGGCGGGUCUCUGGACAGUUCCUGACACUGAGGCACGAAGGCCAGGGGAGCAAACGGG
rnacentral:rRNA from 1 species